GUCUCUCCUGCAAGGGCUGCCUCCCUCUCCCCUCCUGGGAUCUGGGUCCAGUUUGCUUUGAAGACGUUUCUGUUCGUUUCACGGACGAGGAGUGGGCGUUGCUGGAUCCUGACCAGAGAGCUCUGCAUAAGGACGUCAUGGAGGAGAAUCGUGGGAUCAUGGCCUCUCUUGCUUUAAUUCUGGCCUUGCAACAUCUUCCCAUGGAGUGAAGCAAGUUUCUUAGUUCUGCAGCUGUGAUAAUGUGAAACCAAGAUGGAAUUAUUGCAACUAUUAAUUGGGCUUUAUUGCUGGGUUGCUUCUGACUAACAAGUUUCUUUAGUUGGCUCCAUAGAUUUCUGAUUGGAUUGAGGUCUGGGCUAUUCCCAGGCCAUUCCAGCAGUGGAACUGAUUCUCUUGAAACCACCUUUUGCACACAGCAGCAACAUGACAUGGAGCUU